rnacentral:rRNA from 1 species
UACGAAGGGGGCGAGCGUUGUUCGGAAUCACUGGGCGUAAAGGGCGCGUAGGUGGCCUUCUUAGUCAGACGUGAAAUCCCCGGGCUUAACUCGGGAACUGCGUCUGAUACUGGAAGGCUCGAGUUCGGGAGAGGAAUGUGGAAUUCCAGGUGUAGCGGUGAAAUGCGUAGAUAUCUGGAGGAACACCGGUGGCGAAGGCGGCAUUCUGGACCGAAACUGACGCUGAGGCGCGAAAGCCAGGGGAGCAAAACGGG